AAAGAUUCUAGGCAAAACAGACGAAAGUCUGUGACGCAAAGCUAAAGGGCCUGUAAAAUGGCAGCCAGUUGCAGAA
rnacentral:ncRNA from 1 species